rnacentral:rRNA from 1 species
UGCGAGAGAGACAAGCGUUGUUCGUCUUGACUGGGCGUAAAGGGCAUGUAGGUUGUUCAAAAAUCAGUUGGUUAAAGGCUGUGAGGAAUCAUAGAAAAGCUGACUGAAGUAUUGAGCUUGAGUUAGACUAAGGUUAUUAGAAUUUUACCGCAUCAGGGCUAAAAUCUGUUGAACCGGGAAAAAAUAUCAAAAGGCGAAGGCAUAUCACUAGAGCUAACUGACACUGAGGUGCGAAGGUGUGGGUAGCAAAAGGG